rnacentral:rRNA from 1 species
ACAUGCCUACAAUUUAGUGUUAAUGCAUCGGAUCCCAUUAGAACUUUGCAGUUAACCACGCUCGGGCUAGAGUAGUAUUGGUAUGGGUGAUUGCCUGGGAAGUCCUAGUAUUUUACAUGCC